GGGGCCGGUUCACAGGUGGUGCAUGGUUGUCGUCAGCUCGUGUCGUGAGAUGUUGGGUUAAGUCCCGCAACGAGCGCAACCCUCGUUCCAUGUUGCCAGCGCGUAAUGGCGGGGACUCAUGGGAGACUGCCGGGGUCAACUCGGAGGAAGGUGGGGACGACGUCAAAUCAUCAUGCCCCUUAUGUCUUGGGCUUCACGCAUGCUACAAUGGCCGGUACAAAGGGUUGCGAUACUGUGAGGUGGAGCUAAUCCCAAAAAGCCGGUCUCAGUUCGGAUUGGGGUCUGCAACUCGACCCCAUGAAGUCGGAGUCGCUAGUAAUCGCAGAUCAG
rnacentral:rRNA from 1 species